rnacentral:rRNA from 1 species
AUUGAACGCUGGCGGCAUGCCUUACACAUGCAAGUCGAACGGUAACAGGUCUUCGGAUGCUGACGAGUGGCGAACGGGUGAGUAAUACAUCGGAACGUGCCCGAUCGUGGGGGAUAACGAGGCGAAAGCUUUGCUAAUACCGCAUACGAUCUACGGAGGAGAGCGGGGGGUCUUCGGACCUCUCGCGGACGUGGCGGGCGAUGGCAGAUUAGGUAGUUGGUGGGGUAAAAGCUUACCAAGCCGACGAUCUGUAGCUGGUCUGAGAGGAUGAUCAGCCACACUGGGACUGAGACACGGCCCAGACUCCUACGGGAGGCAGCAGUGGGGAAUUUUGGACAAUGGGCGAAAGCCUGAUCCAGCCAUGCCGCGUGCAGGAUGAAGGCCUUUGGGUUGUAAACUGCUUUUGUACGGAAAGAAAAGCCUCUUUCUAAUAAAGAGGGGUCAUGACGGUACCGUAAGAAUAAGCACCGGCUAACUACGUG